CAUUUCACUUGUCGGAAUAUUGUUAUUUGUAAACUGAUUUAUAUUUUUCGUACACUUAAAUUAUAAAAAAUCGUACCUUCUCAAAUGUAUUAAGUGUAUAAUCUAUGGUACCUACACUUCAUUUUUGGAUGUGGUGAAUAAUUACUUAAUUAGAUUGACAGAAAGAAAACAUAGGACAAGAUCCGCUAUGGAAGCUUCAAUCAAUAUGGUCUGAAAAUAUAUUACGGCAAAAAAAUGCAGUAAACUCAACAUUUUCGUGAAAUCAAAAUCGUCAUAAAACUUUUUGAAUUACACGAAGCAAUAAACAGCGUAACAAAUUCUGUUGUAAUGAAUAUUCGAUGCUGUGAGAAUUUUACGAUCGAUUGUCGUGGCAAACGUAAUAAUAGUAUAAUUUUACUGGUACGUAAUUCUUUCACGCCACUUAUAUUCGAAUUUCGUAAUAAACACAACUAAAUUUGGAA